CUCGCAUCAAAUUUGGCAUUGACCCAUCAGAAAGAUUUAUUAUGUCAGGAGGAGAUGACUGCCACACUCGCGUUUGGUGUAUCAAAUCUGGCCAACUUCUGUCUGAAAAUAAAUUCUCCGACAGUAUCCCUUCAGUUGUGUGUUGGUCUUCGGUUGAAGGGCAAGGAGACGUGAAAGAUGGCAUUGUUCAUGGGGCAUGGUUUGGAUCGCGUGAAGGGAUAUUCAACAUGUUUUAAGACAUUCACUGCUUUUCAAGAGGUUGCAAGCUAAGAGAUUC